GUUGGGCACUCUAGCGAGACUGCCGGUAAUAAACCGGAGGAAGGUGGGGAUGACGUCAAAUCAUCAUGCCCCUUAUGACCUGGGCUACACACGUGCUACAAUGGCUGGUACAACGAGUCGCAAGCCGGUGACGGCAAGCUAAUCUCUUAAAGCCAGUCUCAGUUCGGAUUGUAGGCUGCAACUCGCCUACAUGAAGUCGGAAUCGCUAGUAAUCGCGGAUCAGCACGCCGCGGUGAAUACGUUCCCGGGCCUUGUACACACCGCCCGUCACACCACGAGAGUUUGUAACACCCGAAGUCGGUGAGGUAACCGUAAGGAGCCAGCCGCCUAAGGUGGGAUAGAUGAUUGGGGUGAAGUCGUAACAAGGUAGCCGUAUCGGAAGGUGCGGCUGGAUCACCUCCUUUCUAAGGA
rnacentral:rRNA from 1 species